UGAGCUUCAUAAAGAAACAACCAACGGCACUUUUACGUUCGGCAGGCAGCGCUGCGAAUUUUCUAUGCAAUAGUUGUUGUACGCAACGGGUGGACGAGCGAGUGUGUGGAGUGUGAGAGGGGUGUGGGCUGUGGAGUAAUAGAAAAAAAGUGAUUAAAACAAAAUUAAAAAAUAUUUAAAAAAUUCGAAAGCCAAGUGCAAAUGAGCGACAAUAAUUGGCUAUAACUAAUGGCUGGCUAAAAAUAAGCGCAGAGUAAAAUAUACCUGAAUUAGCCAAUUUAAUGCAGCUGAGUAGUUUUAGCAGAGCUAACAAGAAAGUGAAGUGAACGAAAAAACUGCAAAGUGUGUAUUUACGCACACUUCGAAUUGGGGUUGAAUUUUAAACAAAGAAAGAAAAAAUCAAUUGAAACAGAAAAGUUCAAAUAAAAAUUGUAUAUAAGUAUAUGUAUGUGCAAGUAUGUAUGUGUGUGUGUUGAAAAAAAUUUAGCCUGCAUUAAGCAAAACUGUGAAAAUAAUACAGAAAAUUCAAAAAACCUGCUCGUGCGCAUAACCACAAAAAGCCCUAAUAUUUGGCAGUCUGCCAUCCAAACAAAACAGCAAAAGGUGCAAAAAAGAAAUCGCAGCCGCCAAGGGCCUAGCUAGCUCCAAAGCAAAGAAUGCAAACCAAACCAACAAUUAAAUACACAAGUAAACUAGCAAAUACAAUAUACAACGGACCAAUGGGUACGGUGAGUCACAACGUUCUCUUCGAUGGCAGUGGAGCUCGUAUGGUGGUUGGGUCCGCCAUCCUUGUUUAUCUACUCGUCUACAAUGAGGCUUGCGCGCCAGCUAUUGUGCUCGCCAACUUUUUGGCUUGCAUUUAUGGAUUAAUAGCAGCAUUCUGCAAGUCUAGUCUACGCUCCCUACAAAUGCCCUACAUUCGCGCUACCAACAAAUUUGACUUCACCUGCCUCUUUCUCGCAACAUGGAUGGAUGUGUUGGCGGUACUGUGUGCCUGUGCAGCUUUGGCGCGUACAAUGAGCACCUGCUUGGAUGCGAUGACAGGUGGCAUGGCGCAUAUUCUCAUUUUGGGCCGCAAUUCAUCAGCGAAUGAGCCAUGGCCGGAUGUUGUGGGUGUUGCGGUGGUUCUUCUAAUUACUGGCAUGUUUAUGCUGGGCUUGGAGAAUUCCAAAGUCUUUUGCAUGAUCAUGUUGACUGGAAUGGUUAUCCUGGGCGUCUUGGUAAGCGCCGUGACUCUUUGGAAAGCUGAUUCACAGGAAUGGAAACGCUAUCUUUUUCGACCAAAUGGCAUUAAUAGUUUUCUCACGGCAGCGGGACUACUCACCUUCGCAUAUCCGAAAGACUAUCCAUCGAAAAAUUCGUUUCUUGACCGUAUGACAGGAAUUAUUUACAUACUUAGAACCUUUUGUUCCAUAAUGCUUAAAGCACUGGGUUUUUCAUUAUUAAUGAACUACAAACCUGCUGCGGAGUACAAUGCCAUUCCAAUCUUCACUUUUGUGAACGAUCUGAAUUUUCACAAUUUCGUACCAGCCAUAGCUUGUCUUUUAAUGUUAACCUGCUCGGCCGCAUACUUGGAGCUUUUCCAAGAACUCUACGGCUACAUAGUACGCUUUGCGACCGCCGAAUGGAAGGUGUUUUCCAAGCAAAUAAGUUAUGAGAGUCCCGACAGCGGCAAUCCCGUGCUGGCUAUUUUCAUAAGCGGAAGCCUCUGCGCUAUGUUAGCGUUUGCCUGCCCCAUGCAACAUCUCAGCUAUAUAAUGGCGUCUAGUCACCUAUUUGCGGGCUUUCUCAGAUCAUUCUACUUGCUGUACUUGCCAUUCCGUCCAAAGUAUAUACAACGCAGUAAUUUCAAUUCAUCACUCUCGUAUAGUCGUCUCUCCACUGCACCAGUUCCUGAAAAGAGUUCUUCUUCGAAUAGUAAAAGUAAACGCAGCUUACUGAAUGCAAGCCUAGCCAAGAAAAGUGCCAUCAAGAAGCCAAAGACGAAAAAGAAACCCAAGAAGGAGUUGGAGAAGGAAUGGCUUUUGCUGGGUGAGCCCACAUCUCCUUGUCCCGUGCGCGAGCCAAAAGACGUAGAAUCUGCAAUACUAUCGGAUCGUGAGCCACCGCCUUCCGAUUUCGAAUUCCCAGAGAAAUUUGAGAAGAGCGAUUCAGAUACCUCAACCGAUAUUGACGCGAUAGUUGAUGAAUAUCGACAGAAAAUCAAGGUCACAACGGCUGGUCCAAUGGAACGCACUGGGCGCUUACCGACUCUGCUGACAUGGCGAUUUGCCAUGCUCUCUAUUUUUAUGAUUGUUUCUGGAUCAAUUUUAUGCAGCAUAGCCUUUGUAUUGCAUCACACGAAUACGGUGUUCAUUUACUUUUGUGGUGCCAUAAUCGUAAGUUCUAUGAUGUCAGUCUUUCCCAGCUACCACACCACCGUCAUCAGUGUGAGUCCGGUUCUUUGCUCUGCCUCUGUUAUGAUGGCUUCAAUGCUGUUCGUCGCUUGCUCAUACUAUUCUUGGCCGGCCAUACUCUUUUGGCUAAUUGCUGGCCUAAUUUUGGUGAUGCGCUGUGAUAAUUGGUGUUGUGGUUGUUUCGAGUAUAGCGGCGGCAAUAUACAAGAACAACUAAUACCGAGCGUUUCGGCAAAGACAGCGACGAAGGCAACAACAAUACGUAUACCACGGCCGCCCAAGACAUUCGUAACCAUACCCACACGUGUAAGCUUAUCAAGUAGAUGACAACCAGAUUCCUCGGAAAGCGAAGAUCUUUUCAAUGAAGACUUGAAUUUGUGCGACUUUAAAGAGGAUAAAAACGAUGAUGAUGACGACUUUUGGAGUGAAUAGAAAAGAGAUAAAGACAAAAGCAAAUAAAUACAGUAUAAAAUGUUGAGACUUCAUUAGGUAAAUAUUUGGAAAACUCUAAAAAGUGGACGUAAUUCUAUAAUGAAUAAAAAUAAUGGUUUUAAAUAUGCUUAUGCAUACAUUUUAAAAUAGUCAAAAGUAUUUUUUUUUUUUAAUAUUCAAAAGUAUCAAAGUAACUAGAAAUUGACUUCGAAUUAUCUUGUGACUCUUCUGCACAUAAAGAAGAAUUUAGGUGCUAGCGAGGAGUGCUCUGAAUAAUUUAACUGUCGGAAUUGUAACUACUAUAAACUUGCCUAUAUAUAUUUAUAUAUACUCGUACCAGCUACAGUCAUAAUUGAAAUAUUUAGCGAAUGAUUUUAUCGCAAUUUCAAAUAUGUAUUAUCGAACGUAUUGCAUUAAGAAUGAGUUUGUAAUAAAGAAGUCUUCAAGGGGGUGGAGAGAAAUGUAAUUGUAAAUGAAAAAUUUUAUUCCAAGGCUUCAAGCUUUGCAGGUAACGUUUGGUUUUUUGUUUGUGGAAAUUAUAUUUCUUUAGUAGAGAUUGAAAUUAGUUCAUUUAGUAAAUAACAUACAAAUAAAGUGGUUAUGAGUAUGGGCUUGUUCGAGCUUCAAUCACAACCGGAGUGUUGCAUGAUUUGUGAAAGUAUUGCGUUCGUAAAAAAUUCGGUAAAUGUUCCGCGCGAAUACAAAUAAAUCGGCAUCAAAAAUUUUUUGUUUGCUCGAUUACAAUGGAAUCUCCCAAAACUAAACGGCGUCAGUGUCACGCUAACCCAACAGGCAAAAUACCUAGGUGAUACCCUAGACCCCAAACUCAGCUGGAAGUCCAACGUAGAGUACAGAGUAAAGAAAGCGAAUAAGCGCUUUACACGUGUAAGAGAAUGUUGGGUAAAAAAUGGGGUAUCCAACCAAAACUAACCAAUUGGUCCUAUACAGCCAUUGUAAGGCCAAUACUAACAUAUGCGGCACUAUUACGGUGGCCUGCAACAGAAAAGAAAUACAACAAAACUAAGCUGAACAAGAUACAAAGAACAGCGUGUAUCUUGACUACAGGAGCGCUUAGCACCAGUCCUACUGAAGCGCUCAAUGUACUAACACAUCUAUUGCCAUUAGAUUUACACAUUAAAACAAUAGCUACUUGCAGCGCUGUGAGACUCAGAGACAUAGGGAGCUGGACAACAAGGUUGUACGGUCACAGUAAGAUCCUCCUACAGGGACCUUCGCUGCUCAAAAACAGAUCAGACUACUCAGUCCCCGACCUCAACUUCAAGAAAAACUUUACGGUACGUUUUCCACCGAGAGCCGAGUGGAGCAAAGGAGAGGUGAUUGGAAGACACGAUAUCGAAACCUAUACCGAUGGUUCUAAGAUGAACUGUGGUGUGGGAGCUGGCUUCCAUUCGAAGC